UACGUAGGGGGCAAGCGUUGUCCGGAAUCAUUGGGCGUAAAGCGCGCGUAGGCGGCCAGAUUAGUCCGGUGUGAAAGUCAGAGGCUCAACCUUUGAAUGCCGCUGGAAACUGUCUGGCUUGAGUCCGGAAGGGGCGAGUGGAAUUCCUGGUGUAGCGGUGAAAUGCGCAGAUAUCAGGAGGAACACCGAUGGCGAAGGCAGCUCGCUGGGACGGUACUGACGCUGAGGCGCGAAAGCGUGGGUAGCAAACAGG
rnacentral:rRNA from 1 species